AUGGCCCUCUCCCGCGCCGCGGCGCUCCGCCUCCCGCUCCCGCGCCUCCUCCGCGGGCCCUCCGCCUCCCUCAUCGCCGCCGCCGGGGCCGCCUCCCGCCGCCGCGCCGCCGCGGGGCCCGCGCCCGCCCUCCGCUUCCUCUGCGCCGCCCCCUCCCCCUCCUCCUCGCGCUCCGGGAAGUCCGUCCCCCGCGCGCGCCGCCGCGACGGCGACAACGACGGGGAUGGGGCCGCCGUGACCAAGGAGCGGAUUGUGCAGGUGGAGCUCCACAAGGAGGCCACCGACGCGUACAUGUCUUACGCCAUGUCCGUGCUGCUCGGCCGCGCCCUCCCCGACGUCCGCGACGGGCUCAAGCCGGUGCACCGCCGGAUACUCUAUGCAAUGCAUGAAAUGGGCCUUGCAUCUCGUAAGCCAUACAGAAAAUGUGCCAGAGUCGUUGGUGAGGUACUCGGUAAAUUCCAUCCUCAUGGAGAUUCAGCCGUCUAUGAAACUUUAGUGCGAAUGGCUCAGGACUUUUCAAUGAGGUACCCACUUGUUCAAGGACAUGGUAACUUUGGUUCAAUAGAUUCCGAUCCUCCCGCUGCAAUGCGAUACACAGAGUGCCGCUUGGAUCCAUUAACAGAAGCCAUGUUCCUGACUGAUUUGGAGCUGAAUACAGUUGACUACAUUCCGAACUUUGAUAAUUCACAGAAAGAACCAUCUCUGUUGCCAGCUCGUGUUCCAUCACUACUGUUGAAUGGAUCUUCUGGAAUUGCAGUUGGAAUGGCGACAAAUAUCCCUCCCCACAAUCUGGGAGAACUUGUUGAUGCGCUCUCUGCUAUAAUUCAAAACCCUGAUGCUACGCUCCAAGAACUACUGGAAUACAUGCCUGGUCCUGACUUUCCUACAGGAGGGAUACUCAUGGGAAAUGAUGGUAUUUUGGAGGCCUAUAGAACUGGGCGUGGUCGAAUUGUGAUGAGAGGCAAAACCGUCAUGGAAACAAUUGAUGAGAAAACCAAGCGCACGGCUAUCAUAAUUAAUGAGGUUCCGUACCAGACAAAUAAAUCUACUCUAGUCCAAAGGAUAGCUGAGCUUGUUGAAGACAAGGUGUUAGAAGGCAUCAGUGAUAUUCGGGAUGAAAGCGACCGUGCUGGAAUGCGUGUAGUUAUCGAGGUGAAAAGAGGUGCAAAUCCUGCCAUUGUCCUGAACAACCUGUAUCGUCAUACAGCAUUGCAGUCUAGUUUUAGCUGCAACAUGGUAGCUAUUCUUGAUGGGCAUCCAAAACUGAUGGGACUGAAGGAAAUUCUUCAGGCGUUCCUUGACUUCAGAUGCUCUGUUAUUGAAAGGCGUGCAAAGUUUAAGCUUUCACAAGCUCUAGAAAGAAAGCAUAUUGUGGAGGGCAUUGUCAUUGGUCUUGACAAUUUAGAUGCUGUAAUUCAAGUGAUAAGAGAAACAUCAAAUCACACCGUGGCAAAGGAAGCUUUAGCAAAAGAAUAUGGUCUAUCUGAGAAGCAAGCAGAAGCACUUUUGGACAUUACACUUAGGAAACUUACUUCCCUUGAGCGGAAGAAGUUUAUUGAUGAAGCUAAUUCAUUGUCGGAGAGCAUUUCAAAGUUAAAUGAGCUCCUGUCAAGCAAGAAACUUAUGUUUCAGCUUAUCGAACAAGAAGCAGCUGAUUUAAAGAGCAAAUUUGCUACCCCACGACGUUCUUUCCUAGAAGAUUCAGCAAACGGUGAAGUUGAUGAUAUGGAUGUUAUUCCUAACGAAGAAAUGCUUUUGAUUCUUAGCGAGAAAGGCUAUCUUAAGCGGAUGAAUCCUAACACCUUCAAUUUACAAAACCGGGGGACAAUUGGAAAAUCUGUUGGAAAGAUGCGAACGAAUGACAAUAUGUCGGAUUUCAUUGUCUGCCAAACACAUGACCAUGUUCUUUAUUUCAGUGACAAGGGGAUAGUAUACUCUGAACGUGCUUAUAAGAUACCUGAAUGCACAAGAGUUGCUGCUGGGACUCCAUUAGUACAGCUGCUCAAUUUGUCUGAUGGGGAGAGAAUAACCUCCAUUGUUCCUGUGAAUAAAUUUGUUGAAGACCAAUAUUUAGUGAUGCUGACUGUUAACGGCUAUAUCAAGAAAGUUCCUCUUAAUGCCUUCGCAUCAAUCAGGUCAACAGGAAUCAUUUCAAUGCGCCUGGUUCCCGGCGACGAGCUCAAGUGGGUCCGUCUCUGUAGGGAUGACGACCUUGUUGCUUUGGCUUCACAAAGCGGGAUGGUUAUAGUCAACACAUGCAACAGGCUUCGUCCGCAUGGAAGAACUACAAGAGGUAUGGGUGCAAUGAGGCUAAAGGAAGAUGACAAGAUGGCAGCCAUGGAUAUAAUUCCAUCCACAACCCAUACAAUGCCUGGAAAAACUGUCAGCAGGGUCAGAGACUUGAGUCCUCCAUGGCUGCUCUUCAUAGCUGAAAAUGGUUAUGGGAAGCGUGUGCCCCUAAAUGCUUUCCGUCAAUCAAGCUUCAAUAGAGUAGGCUUGCGAGGCUACAAGCUUCCAGAAGAUUGCCGCUUAGCUGCUGUGUUUGUCGUUGGGGAACCGACUGAUGACGAUGCAAGUGAGGAGCAGGUUGUUUUAGUUAGCCAUGGUGGCACUGUAAACAGAAUCAAGGUCAAAGAUAUAUCCAUCCAGGGUCGUGCGGCAAAGGGAGUAAUUCUGAUGAGGCUGGAGCAUGCUGGGAAGAUCCAGUCAGCUUCACUGAUAUCAGCCACAGCCACGGAAGAGAUCUUGGAAGAUUGA
rnacentral:rRNA from 1 species